GACUUCAGUCUAAAUACUAGAAGGCAUCAGAUCCUGUCUGGUCUUGAAGGCUAAGCAGAGUUAUCCCUGGUUAGUACUGUGAUGGUGACAAUGAAUACCAGGUGCUAUAGGCU
rnacentral:rRNA from 1 species